GUGCUCGUUUCAGCAGUACAUAUACUAAAAUUGGAAGGAUACAGAGAAGAUUAGCAUGGUCCCUGUGCAAGGAUGACAUAUAAAUUCAUGAAGUGUUUCUCUCCCCC
rnacentral:snRNA from 1 species